ensembl:snoRNA SNORA70 Small nucleolar RNA SNORA70
CUGCAGCUAAUUAAAUCAGUUGGGGUUCUUUCCUUAUUGGGCUCAAUAUGCAAUGGCUGUAAACAAAAGCCCCCUAGGUAAUGUAGGCAGCCUGUUACUUACAUGUGCAUAAACAUCAUUGGACACAACC